AUGUUGGGAGGACGACAUUUAAGUGGUAGUCAGCGAGACAUAGCAAAAGAAACGAGAAAACUAACAUGGCAAUGAUAGUAAUGGUAUCUAGGGAAAUGAUCAUCUUGCAUGUGAUCUCGUUUGGAAGAAGAACGAAUCUGUGAAGUAGACGAACGAACGUAGUCGAACGAAUCCUCACACUCCAAAGUGGUUCAGAACUCUAUUUGGAAGGAACAAUCCGGAAACAACAAUCAACACACGAUAAACACCACGACAUAUGCAUAACAUGAUGCACAAACACAUAUAAUGCAUUUGCAUAUAAUUAUGCACGACACGACAAAUCACAACAAUUUAUUACUACACAUAAAAGGAAGUUCAAUAUGCAACGAGUUUCAUAUUGACGAAACUCCACGUUAAAGUAUUUAGUUCACUCUCGUUUAGGUACUCAACAAUGUUAAAUGCUGUUACACAUGGCAACAGGUGAAGCAUAAAUAAACUACACUAUCUAUGCAUUUUAAAUGAGGACGGAAACAACUUAUAGUAUCUACGGAAUGACCCCAUACGUUAAUUCCGAAAUUGGCCCACAUCUGAAGUAAACAUAUUUUAUAAUUGUCAAACAGCAAAAUAAAAUAGACCAUGUGAUUCUACACGUCAUUCUAGUUGAUUUACAUAUAUAUAUAUCAUUAAAAAUGGAGCUACGGUUUAAAAGAUAUGAGCAACACAAGAUGAUAUGCCACGCAUGCAAAAUGCAUGCAAAUGACAACCACAACAUGUUAAUCAUGGAUACAACAAGAAAUUAUGACAACACAUGAAAUUCUAGGCAAGGUUAAAUGAGGCCGGAACAAGGAAUAACAAUUCCGGUAAAUCUCCAUAUGAAAAUUAAGAUUUGGUACUGUUCUUCCUAUAAC
rnacentral:lncRNA from 1 species